ensembl:snoRNA
AACAUUUGUGUGUGUGUCUUUGUUUAAUUUGUAACAAAGACUUAUAGACAGGUGCAAAUAGAAAAUCCUCUUUUGCAACCCAGAACUCAAUGCUGAUAUAAGGUUUUGGUACAUGUAAGAAGGAAUAUG